rnacentral:rRNA from 2 species
UCAGGAUGAACGCUGGCGGCGUGCCUAAUACAUGCAAGUCGAGCGAACUGAUUAGAAGCUUGCUUCUAUGACGUUAGCGGCGGACGGGUGAGUAACACGUGGGCAACCUGCCUGUAAGACUGGGAUAACUUCGGGAAACCGAAGCUAAUACCGGAUAGGAUCUUCUCCUUCAUGGGAGAUGAUUGAAAGAUGGUUUCGGCUAUCACUUACAGAUGGGCCCGCGGUGCAUUAGCUAGUUGGUGAGGUAACGGCUCACCAAGGCAACGAUGCAUAGCCGACCUGAGAGGGUGAUCGGCCACACUGGGACUGAGACACGGCCCAGACUCCUACGGGAGGCAGCAGUAGGGAAUCUUCCGCAAUGGACGAAAGUCUGACGGAGCAACGCCGCGUGAGUGAUGAAGGCUUUCGGGUCGUAAAACUCUGUUGUUAGGGAAGAACAAGUACGAGAGUAACUGCUCGUACCUUGACGGUACCUAACCAGAAAGCCACGGCUAACUACGUGC